UGUACAUCAACUUUGUUGACUAUGAGAAAGCAUUCGAUAGCAUGGAUCGAGAGACUCUCUGGAAGCUCCUUCGGCACUAUGGCAUCCCAGCAAAGGUGGUCAACCUGAUUAAGAACUUAUAUGAUGGCAUACACUGUAGAGUGAUCCAUGGAGGGCAACUUA